GCCUGCCCAGUGACUAUUAGUUAAACGGCCGCGGUAUUUUGACCGUGCUAAGGUAGCGCAAUCACUUGUCUUUUAAAUGAAGACCUGUAUGAAUGGUGGAACGAGGGCUUAACUGUCUCCCUUCUCCAGUCAAUGAAAUUGAUCUGCCCGUGCAGAAGCGGGCAUAUAUAUACAAGACGAAGAAGCCCUUUGGAGCUUAAGACAAAGGCCAACCGUGUUAAAGCCCAAAUAAAAUGAAAUCAAACAAAACGGCAACUGACCAGCGUCUUCGGUUGGGGCGACCACGGGGAAAAUGAAGCCCCCAUGUGGAAUGGGGUAAUCCCUAAAACUAAGAGAGACAUCUCUAAGCCACAGAAUAUCUGACCAAAAGAUCCGGCCUACCAGCCGAUCAACGAACCAAGUUACCCUAGGGAUAACAGCGCAAUCCCCUCCAAGAGUUCAUAUCGACGAGAGGGUUUACGACCUCGAUGUUGGAUCAGGACAUCCUAAUGGUGCAGCCGCUAUUAAGGG
rnacentral:rRNA from 1 species